UCUUUCAAAGGUGCAAGGCUACACUUCUUUCCCAGCAUGCAACUGUACCACCUGAAAACAGAAAAAAAGGGGUUGUGAAACCACCAGCCUGGACACCUGAUCCAUGGGAGCACAUCAAAUAAACCACAGGAAUCAGAGCCAUGGGUUGAAUAUGGGCUCACUCUGUGGGAACGAUGACAGACGGCACCAUUGAGUAUGCAUGAGCAGAACGUGGUGGCUGAAGGUCAAGUUCACUUUCAAGAGCAUCUUGAUGAGCUGGCAAAGGUCUUCCAUCUGCAAUCUAACCCAAUCAGCGGAGCCACAACUAUAUCACUGACACAAUCUGACACAACGGCCAAAGACGUCCAUUUGAAUGUGUAUGGAUGAAACACCAAUGCUUUCAUCAAAAGAGAUGAAAUAAAGACAACUUUUCAGAGACUUUUCAAUAUAUAGCUGACAACAGUAAACUAAAAGACAGCAUGCUGAUCAAAGCUCUGCUGCAAAAAAUAUCCAAACCAAAAACCGAGUGUUUGUGUGUAUAUAUAAAAUAUAAAUAAGAAUAUAACUAUGAUUAUAUAUAUAUAUAAUAAAUAUAUAUAUCGUUUUGUAUUAUUAUAUUAUAUUAUUACUCUCGACAGUUGUGUCCCAUCUAUGCUGAAAACAUGGAAUAUUUUAAUCCAGAGGAUCUGGUGGUUAUGCGACUGCCAGCACCGUCUUACUCUCCACCAGCCUGUGUGUGUGUAUAAACCAACAAGCAGCCCUGCCAAAACCCUGUACCACCAGCCUGAGGGACCGCAAAGAGUUUAACAGGAUAACACCAGUGAGUCUGAGCUGGCAUACCGAUGUCGAUGCCCCUCCGUGGGUUCCCCUGUCC